UAACUACUUCCUCCGUGUAACAAAGGAUGUCUCAAUUUUGACUAAAUUUGAAUGCAUCUAUACAUUACGUCAUGUUUAGAUACAUUUAAAUUCAAACUUGAGACAUCUUUUAUUGGACGGAGGAAGCAAUAA
rfam:Brachypodium distachyon strain Bd21 chromosome 1, whole genome shotgun sequence.